AGGGUCUCUCUCCUUCCCGCUGACCGGGGAGCUGGGGGUCUGAGCAACACAAGUUCCCAUGUCAUCUGGCCCUCGGUACUUUCAGAACUUUCUCCUGGGCCCAAGCGAGGGAACUCAAGGUUGUAGUGAGUUAUGGAACUUUUAAGCUGCCUGCCCAGCAGCCAGCCCUUGGCCUCCACUUGAGGGCUAACACCUGUUGGCUGGACAGAGCAAUUAAUUUCUUUAAAAAAAUGUGGUAAGCUGCCAGCAAUCAAAGUUAAAAGGAUAAAAAAUAUAAUUUUACCUCUGAGCUUCCAGAAAUGGCCUUUGAUCUUUCCCAGUGCCCUUGGGACAGGAGGCAGAGAUCUACAAUAUGUUCUUCACAAAGAAGCAUCUUUAGAAGACGCAAACAAUGAAGAGCUGGCAGUACCCACCCCCAAUAUCGUUUUGUGUAGCUGCUCACACUGAGAUUGAGCAGAGACUGUCACUCACAACCUAAAGUCUUGUCUACCGAAUGUCAGUCCUUAGGAAAAGCUUAAAUUGGACAGCCUUAAAUUAUGAUCUAGUCCAUCCCUUGCAAGAUCAAAUGUAGGUUGAGUUUUCUGGCUUGAUGGUUAUAAUGUUAUUUGUUGUAGGAUGUCUGUAUGUGAAACAGAUAACUGUGAACUUCAAAGAGCUAAAGUACCAACUGUGGGCUGGCGCUUGGCCACACAUACAGCCUCCCUCAUGCUCCAGACCCUUUGGUAGUCAAGACAAGGUCACUGAUCAGGGUAAUUUGCAGGAAAAGUCAAUUUCUCAAGUACCAAAGCAGGUGCUGUGGCACUCUAUGACAAUUUACUGAAUCUAAAUUGAGGAAGUUGAAAAAAGCAAAGGUCACGAGCCACAGGAAGAAUGGAGGAAAGAAAAUCCCUCUGACUGUAUUUUUAACUCCUCUUCCACUAAGAUGCACUCGCCAGCCAAGGCGAUUAACACCAAAAACAAAUAAAUGAGGAUGGCAAUCUCUCACUCUAA